UACGUAAGGGGCGAGCGUUGUUCGGAAUUAUUGGGCGUAAAGGGCACGCAGGCGGUUAUGCAAGUCUGGUGUGAAAGACCUGGGCUUAACUCAGGGAACGCGCUGGAAACUGUAUGACUAGAAUCUUGGAGGGGGAGUUGGAAUUCCUAGUGUAGGGGUGAAAUCUGUUGAUAUUAGGAAGAACACCGGUGGCGAAGGCGAACUCCUGGCUGUAGAUUGACGCUGAGGUGCGAAAGCAUAGGGAGCAAACAGG
rnacentral:rRNA from 1 species